ACUUUUCAUUUUGUUUUGGCACCAUUUCGUGAAGUUUUGAUUCAUGGCUAUAAAUAUGUGUUUGUUGGACAUAAAAAAACACAUGAAAAUCAGAUUACAAAACAUAGGGUAAUCUGUCAUCAUUCCAUAAGAAAGAAAAAUCCUGUCUUCCUCCACAUUCAUAUAUUCCCUUUAUGUUCUUCAAGUUCAGGUGGAGAAAUGCUUGUGCUUUUGUAUUUCUCUACAUCAAGGCUUGAUCAAUCCUUCAAACCGUUUGCCGCGAGAUCCUUUAAGCACCAACAUUAAUACCAAGAGGGGGCAAAUAUCGUUUGAGAACAACGAUGUAACGUCGUGUUUGAGCCUUCCAUUUUCGUCAUGAUCUUGAUUCGUUUUUUCAUCCUCUUGAUUAAUUUUCUGCAUUGUUUCUUCUCCAACCCCGGUGUUGAAUAAUUUCCCAACAAUCUCAAACGAUAUUU
rnacentral:lncRNA from 1 species